CACCACAGUGAUGACCACUCCACUGAUGG
rnacentral:piRNA from 1 species